CUUAGUGGCGAACGGGUGAGUAACGCGUGAGUAACCUGCCCUGGAGUGGGGGACAACAGUUGGAAACGACUGCUAAUACCGCAUAAGCCCACGAUCCGGCAUCGGAUUGAGGGAAAAGGAUUUAUUCGCUUCAGGAUGGACUCGCGUCCAAUUAGCUAGUUGGUGAGGUAACGGCCCACCAAGGCGACGAUUGGUAGCCGGACUGAGAGGUUGAACGGCCACAUUGGGACUGAGACACGGCCCAGACUCCUACGGGAGGCAGCAUG
rnacentral:rRNA from 1 species